rnacentral:rRNA from 1 species
GACGAACGCUGGCGGCGUGCUUAACACAUGCAAGUCGAACGGAAAGGCCCUGCUUUUGUGGGGUGCUCGAGUGGCGAACGGGUGAGUAACACGUGAGUAACCUGCCCUUGACUUUGGGAUAACUUCAGGAAACUGGGGCUAAUACCGGAUAGGAGCUCCUGCUGCAUGGUGGGGGUUGGAAAGUUUCGGCGGUUGGGGAUGGAUUCGCGGCUUAUGAGCUUGUUGGUGGGGUAGUGGCUUACCAAGGCUUUGACGGGUAGCCGGCCUGAGAGGGUGACCGGCGACAUUGGGCCUAAGGUACGGACCAGACUCCUACGGGAGGCAGCAGUGGGGAAUAUUGCACAAUGGGCGGACGCCAGAUGCAGCAACGCCGCGUGCGGGAUGACGGCCUUCGGGGUGUAAACCGCUUUCGCCUGUGACGAAGCGUGCGUGACGGUAAUGGGUAAAGAAGCACCGGCUAACUACGUG